AUGUUACAAUACUUGUUAAGUCUAAUGUUACAAGGUCAUUUAGGAAUUCGGAAUUCAAGUUACAACAUGUUACAUAUAAACUCAAGAUACAAAAGAGUCUCAAAAUUCCCAAAGUCUAAAUUGAAAAGGAUCUUGAAUCAUGCUUCAACAUCUCUUCAUGUCCAAACAAAAAUUCUAGUGUCUUAUCUUGCUGUCCUGCUAUUCAUGCUUAAGCCCCUGCUCUGA